rnacentral:rRNA from 1 species
GACGAACGCUGGCGGCGUGCUUAACACAUGCAAGUCGAACGGUAAGGCCCUUCGGGGUACACGAGUGGCGAACGGGUGAGUGACACGUGGGUGAUCUGCCCUGCACUUCGGGAUAAGCCUGGGAAACUGGGUCUAAUACCGGAUAGGACUCCUGCCUGCAUGGGUGGGGGUGGAAAGCUUUUGCGGUGUGGGAUGGGCCCGCGGCCUAUCAGCUUGUUGGGGGGGUGAUGGCCUACCAAGGCGACGACGGGUAGCCGGCCUGAGAGGGUGACCGGCCACACUGGGACUGAGAUACGGCCCAGACUCCUACGGGAGGCAGCAGUGGGGAAUAUUGCACAAUGGGCGCAAGCCUGAUGCAGCGACGCCGCGUGAGGGAUGACGGCCUUCGGGUUGUAAACCUCUUUCAGCACAGACGAAGCGCAAGUGACGGUAUGUGCAGAAGAAGGACCGGCCAACUACGUGCCAGCCGCCGCCGUAA